CAAAUUAUAACUACUGAGUAGUUCCAUCAUUUACAUCGAUGGUAUAACUGUUUGAAUCAGUUUAAUUUGA